AUAACUUCGGUCUUUCUGUUGCUGCGUAGGGGUGGUAGCUGGACUUAAACAUGUUUAGAAUUUUUAACGGUUCUAAUGGUUGGCUGCUUUAUUGCUAUAUAUAUAUAUGAAUCUUAAUUAACACUUUAUUAUACGUCUUUGGGCUUUUAUACGAAGUCCAAGCUGGAUUAGUUUGUCUUUAAUGGAUGAUUGUUGAUCCACCACGUGGUUCCAGAUGCUGCGAAGCUAAGGAAUGAACAUGAUCCAGUGCUAAUGGCGCUAGCCAUCCUACACCGCCAUGAUGCCUAGCUAACAAGAAGUCCUUUAUGACCACGGCUCUUCACUCUAAACAUCACGGAGCGCAAUGUCGAACAUCCUGGUGCUUCAAUCCAUCACUGAACCCCUGGUAUCAGCAAGGCA